AGGGUUACCUGUCGAUCGAAUUUACCUGGAGGCAUAAACUAGUAGCUGUGCGUAUGAUACUCUACUGUAUUUGGUGUGCACAGAAAGGAUCUAAUGCUAAUUAAUGGAUUAUAUCUCGGUAAUUAAUUAAGUUUAUCUGAUGCGAAGUUUAUAUUGAAGGAUAGCCGUGGAACGGAUAUAAACAAACAUAAUGAAUUGAUGCAUAAUAUUGAAUGUUUAAGAAAAUUCAUUUAAAUAAAAUUGGGAGAGUUAACUUAAAAUAAGUCACUUGAGUCUGAAACUGUUUACAUUCGUGACUGGGGUCAUUUUUAAUGAUGUGAUACUGCUGGGUAGUAAUUUUAAUCCCCCCCAAAAGUGACUUUUGGCGUACUAUUAUAUUUUUAUAGUAUUUGAGGAUUGUAACGCUGGAUAUUAAAAUUCAACAGGGCUGCGUCAAUCAAAUAGGGAUUAUAUUUUAGUGGCCAGGCCGUUGGUAUUCCAAUUUAGGGCCUGCUGACCACACAUAUGAGAGGAUGUAAAGAAAAGUAAGGUGACAAUAGUGGCAGGUGCAUAAACAACACUUCUUGCAUGGAAUUGGUUCUACCCAGUGCUGAAUUGGUUGUACCCUCUUGGGAAAGAAGUGGUAUUGGUUACACCCAGUGGUGACAGCAUGGUCUGAAGAGGUCCAUAGAUUUACUGUUUAAGUUGGACAAAUUAAAAGUUCAGUCAAGUCAAGGUUGAAGAAUCUUCAGGCUCAUAAAAGAAAGCAAAACAUUAAGUUCAGUCAAGUCAAGUCAAGUUGGAAGUGAUUUCAGCAGGUCAGUGAAGAAAAGGGAGAAACAAGUUGAGGCCUCUCAAGACAGACUGGCUAUAGGACUUUGAAGUCAAGUGAAACAGUCAUAGGUCAGUCAAGGCCGACAAGGAAGCAUAAUAAAAACAGACAAGAAAGAUCAGAUAGGGUCAUACUUCAAGAAAAGUCAACAGGGUUUGGGUUGUAAG